AUUAAAUGUAUUCCUAUUGUCUCUGGAUUAAAAUAUGUAUUCCUAAUGUCACUUUUAUAAACAAAUAGAAGUUAAAACUUUACAAUAUUAUUGUAAAUUUGCAAUUGGAAGCUGCAAAAGGGACAUUAGAAUGUCAGCAAGGUUGGAACAAUUUUCGAUUUAAGUGGAAUUUACGGAAGGUGCAAAGAUUUGAGUUUUGACCUCACAACUAAUCUGCAAAAUGAAGAAGCAACAUAUUUUGUUACCGCUUAGAAGAAACAAUA